rnacentral:rRNA from 1 species
UGGGGAAUAUUGGACAAUGGGGGCAACCCUGAUCCAGCAAUGCCGCGUGUGUGAAGAAGGUUUUCGGAUUGUAAAGCACUUUCGACGGGGACGAUGAUGACGGUACCCGUAGAAGAAGCCCCGGCUAACUUCGUGCCAGCAGCCGCGGUAAUACGAAGGGGGCUAGCGUUGCUCGGAAUGACUGGGCGUAAAGGGCGUGUAGGCGGUUUGUACAGUCAGAUGUGAAAUCCCCGGGCUUAACCUGGGAGCUGCAUUUGAUACGUGCAGACUAGAGUGUGAGAGAGGGUUGUGGAAUUCCCAGUGUAGAGGUGAAAUUCGUAGAUAUUGGGAAGAACACCGGUGGCGAAGGCGGCAACCUGGCUGCAUAACUGACCGCUGAGGCGCGAAAGCG